AACUCAAAGGAAUUGACGGGGACCCGCACAAGCGGUGGAUGAUGUGGAUUAAUUCGAUGCAACGCGAAAAACCUUACCUACCCUUGACAUGCCACUAACGAAGCAGAGAUGCAUUAGGUGCUCGAAAGAGAAAGUGGACACAGGUGCAGCAUGGCUGUCGUCUGCUCGUGUCGUGAGAUGUUGGGUUAAGUCCCGCAACGAGCGCAACCCUUGUCUCUAGUUGCUACGAAAGGGCACUCUAGAGAGACUGCCGGUGACAAACCGGAGGAAGGUGGGGAUGACGUCAAGUCCUCAUGGCCCUUAUGGGUAGGGCUUCACACGUCAUACAAUGGUGCAUACAGAGGGUUGCCAAGCCGCGAGGUGGAGCUAAUCCCAGAAAAUGCAUCGUAGUCCGGAUCGUAGUCUGCAACUCGACUACGUGAAGCUGGAAUCGCUAGUAAUCGCGGAUCAGCAUGCCGCGGUGAAUACGUUCCCGGGUCUUGUACACACCGCCCGUCACACCAUGGGAGUGGGCUUUACCAGAAGUAGUUAGCCUAACCGCAAGGAGGGCGAUUACCACGGUAGGGUUCAUGACUGGGGUGAAGUCGUAAC
rnacentral:rRNA from 1 species